CCUUCGAUAGCUCAGUUGGUAGAGCGGAGGACUGUAGUGGUUAAAACGGGCAUCCUUAGGUCGCUGGUUCAAAUCCGGCUCGAAGGA
rnacentral:tRNA from 1 species